rnacentral:rRNA from 1 species
ACACGUAGGUGGCGAGCGUUGUCCGGAAUUACUGGGUGUAAAGGGCGUGUAGGCGGGGCAGCAAGUCAGAUGUGAAAUACCGGGGCUCAACCCCGGGGCUGCAUUUGAAACUGCAGUUCUUGAGUGCAGGAGAGGGAAGCGGAAUUCCUAGUGUAGCGGUGAAAUGCGUAGAUAUUAGGAGGAACACCAGUGGCGAAGGCGGCUUCCUGGACUGUAACUGACGCUGAGGCGCGAAAGCGUGGGUAGCGAACAGGAUUAGAUACCCUGGUAGUCCACGCCGUAAACGAUGGAUACUAGGUGUAGGAGGUAUCGACCCCUUCUGUGCCGGAGUUAACACAAUAAGUAUCCCACCUGGGGAGUACGACCGCAAGGUUGAA